rnacentral:rRNA from 1 species
GACAAAUGCCCUGCUUCCAGGAAAAGCCUCUAAGCAUCAGGUAACAUCAAAUCGUACCCCAAACCGACACAGGUGGUCAGGUAGAGAAUACCAAGGCGCUUGAGAGAACUCGGGUGAAGGAACUAGGCAAAAUGGUGCCGUAACUUCGGGAGAAGGCACGCUGAUAUGUAGGUGAAGCGACUUGCUCGUGGAGCUGAAAUCAGUCGAAGAUACCAGCUGGCUGCAACUGUUUAUUAAAAACACAGCACUGUGCAAACACGAAAGUGGACGUAUACGGUGUGACGCCUGCCCGGUGCCGGAAGGUUAAUUGAUGGGGUUAGCGGUAACGCGAAGCUCUUGAUCGAAGCCCCGGUAAACGGCGGCCGUAACUAUAACGGUCCUAAGGUAGCGAAAUUCCUUGUCGGGUAAGUUCCGACCUGCACGAAUGGCGUAAUGAUGGCCAGGCUGUCUCCACCCGAGACUCAGUGAAAUUGAACUCGCUGUGAAGAUGCAGUGUACCCGCGGCAAGACGGAAAGACCCCGUGAACCUUUACUAUAGCUUGACACUGAACAUUGAGCCUUGAUGUGUAGGAUAGGUGGGAGGCUUUGAAGUGUGGACGCCAGUCUGCAUGGAGCCGACCUUGAAAUACCACCCUUUAAUGUUUGAUGUUCUAACGUUGGCCCCUGAUCGGGGUUGCGGACAGUGUCUGGUGGGUAGUUUGACUGGGGCGGUCUCCUCCUAAAGAGUAACGGAGGAGCACGAAGGUUGGCUAAUCCUGGUCGGACAUCAGGAGGUUAGUGCAAUGGCAUAAGCCAGCUUGACUGCGAGCGUGACGGCGCGAGCAGGUGCGAAAGCAGGUCAUAGUGAUCCGGUGGUUCUGAAUGGAAGGGCCAUCGCUCAACGGAUAAAAGGUACUCCGGGGAUAACAGGCUGAUACCGCCCAAGAGUUCAUAUCGACGGCGGUGUUUGGCACCUCGAUGUCGGCUCAUCACAUCCUGGGGCUGAAGUAGGUCCCAAGGGUAUGGCUGUUCGCCAUUUAAAGUGGUACGCGAGCUGGGUUUAGAACGUCGUGAGACAGUUCGGUCCCUAUCUGCCGUGGGCGCUGGAGAACUGAGGGGGGCUGCUCCUAGUACGAGAGGACCGGAGUGGACGCAUCACUGGUGUUCGGGUUGUCAUGCCAAUGGCACUGCCCGGUAGCUAAAUGCGGAAGAGAUAAGUGCUGAAAGCAUCUAAGCACGAAACUUGCCCCGAGAUGAGUUCUCCCUGAGACUUAGAGUCUCCUGAAGGAACGUUGAAGACGACGACGUUGAUAGGCCGGGUGUGUAAGCGCAGCGAUGCGUUGAGCUAACCGGUACUAAUGAACCGUGAGGCUUAACCUU